CCCCGCGUAGCUCAACGGUUCCAGUGUGGAUCAAAAUUAGCAAUAAUAUUGAUAUAUGCAGGCGUUAGAGAGCGUUCGGCUGUAGACCGAAAGGUUGGCGGUUCAAAUCUGUCCGCGGGGA
rnacentral:tRNA from 1 species